rnacentral:tRNA from 28 species
GCACCAUUAGCUCAGAUGGUAGAGCAACUGACUCUUAAUCAGUGGGUCCUGGGUUCGAGUCCCCGAUGGUGCACCA